rnacentral:misc_RNA from 1 species
UAUACUAAUAAGCUUUCUUUCUCUUUCAUAUCAUAGUUUUCUGUUCUGCAGCUUUCCAUGGAGUUCCACUUCCUACCCAUCCUUGCAUUUCUUUCUUUGACAUUGGUAGCAAGUCAUGCAACUCUAUCUCCUGAAGCGUACUGGAACUCGGUUCUGCCAAACUCUCCUAUGCCUACGGCUGUCAAGGAUCUUUUACACCCUGAAUGGAUGGAAGAUAAGAGCACCGCAGUCGGGGUAGGAAAGGGCGGCGUAGGCGUCGAUGCAGGGCAAGGAAAGCCCGGUGGCACUAGUGUUGGUGUCGGGAAAGGAGGUGUCUCUGUGAACACCGGAAAAAAAGGAAAGCCCGUCUCUGUCGGAGUAUCAAAGGGACCGAAUCCAUUCCUUUACAAGUACGCUGCCACUGCGGAUCAACUCCAUGAUAAUCCCAACAUCGCUCUUUUCUUCUUGGAAAAUGACUUGAAAAAAUACACAAAAAUGACAUUGCACUUCACUAAAACCACCACACCGACUACUUUCUUGCCUCGCCAGGUUGCUGAGAAAAUACCCUUUUCAUCCAAGAAAAUUCCACAAAUUCUUGACUACUUCUCGGUGAAACCCAACUCCAUGGAAGCCAAGACAAUCAAGCAAACAAUCAAAGAAUGCGAAGAGCCUGGAAUCAAAGGAGAAGAGAAAUAUUGCGCGACUUCACUAGAGUCCAUGGUCGAUUUCUGCAGUACCAGGCUUGGGAAAAGUAUCCAAGCAAUCUCCACAGAAGUCAAAAAAGAAACCCCUUUGCAAACAUACACUAUCGAAGGAGUGAAGAAGAUGGCAAGCGAUGCAGCCGUAGUGUGCCAUAAGCAAAACUACGCGUACACAGUGUUUUAUUGCCACAAGACACAGACCACAAAGGCAUACUCGGUUUCAAUGGUACGCCUCGAUGGAACGAAGGCAGAAGCAGUUGCAGUGUGCCAUACCGACACAUCGGGUUGGAAUCCGAAACACUUGGCCUUUCAACUGCUCAAGGUCAAGCCAGGGACUGUUCCAAUUUGCCAUUUCCUUCCUGAGGAUCAUAUAGUUUGGGUUCAUAACUGAUAUUGAUCUUUGCAAAAAAGAGUCAUCACUACUUGUUUAAUUAGUUUUUUAUAUGUUCGUUUAGCUUGGUUUGGCAUGUCAUCAUAAUCUGAAAAACUCUACUUAUGUUGUCUUUACAUAUAUGUGUGUACUAUAACAACUCUCCCACCCACAUAUGCAUAUGCAUAUGAGCUCGACAUAGAGGUGGCUUGUUUUUCAAUAAUAAUAGAUAUGUUGUCCCUGGUGUUUAGCACUACUUAAAACUACUCCAAAAUGUUAUACAAUACCAGAAAAAUGCUAUGCGUUCAAAAUUUGUAUCUUG